rnacentral:rRNA from 1 species
CCUAAUACAUGCAAGUCGAACGCUUCUUUUCCACCGGAGCUUGCUCCACCGGAAAAAGAGGAGUGGCGAACGGGUGAGUAACACGUGGGUAACCUGCCCAUCAGAAGGGGAUAACACUUGGAAACAGGUGCUAAUACCGUAUAACAAUCGAAACCGCAUGGUUUUGAUUUGAAAGGCGCUUUCGGGUGUCGCUGAUGGAUGGACCCGCGGUGCAUUAGCUAGUUGGUGAGGUAACGGCUCACCAAGGCCACGAUGCAUAGCCGACCUGAGAGGGUGAUCGGCCACAUUGGGACUGAGACACGGCCCAAACUCCUACGGGAGGCAGCAGUAGGGAAUCUUCGGCAAUGGACGAAAGUCUGACCGAGCAACGCCGCGUGAGUGAAGAAGGUUUUCGGAUCGUAAAACUCUGUUGUUAGAGAAGAACAAGGAUGAGAGUAACUGUUCAUCCCUUGACGGUAUCUAACCAGAAAGCCACGGCUAACUACGUGCCAGCAGCCGCGGUAAUACGUAGGUGGCAAGCGUUGUCCGGAUUUAUUGGGCGUAAAGCGAGCGCAGGCGGUUUCUUAAGUCUGAUGUGAAAGCCCCCGGCUCAACCGGGGAGGGUCAUUGGAAACUGGGAGACUUGAGUGCAGAAGAGGAGAGUGGAAUUCCAUGUGUAGCGGUGAAAUGCGUAGCUAUAUGGAGGACACCAGUGGCG